rnacentral:tRNA from 1 species
GCCACUUUAGCUCAGUAGGUAGAGCACCACCAUGGUAAGGUGGGGGUCACCGGUUCAAAUCCGGUAAGUGGCU